rnacentral:rRNA from 1 species
AGUGACGUCUGCCCGGUGAAGUUUUUAACGGCCGCAGUACUUUGACUGUGCUAAGGUAGCAAAAUAAAUAGGCUUUUAAUUGGAGUCGAGUAUGAAUGACGUUUUGGUUUACUCCUGUCUCCCUUAUUACAACUUAAUUUACUGAGUAGGUGAAAAUUCCUCCGCACACAUAUAAGACGAGAAGACCCUAAGAAUUUUUAAUAAGUAACUGGUUUUUAGUUCUUUUUUGUUGGGGCGACAAUAUGGCACCUUAAACCCAUAUUAUAAAGAUAACGUGUAACACAUUUAAUUAAGUACCAGAGAAUAUAAUUACCUUAGGGAUACAGCAUAAUUUUAUUAGAUGUGACCUCGAUGUUGGACUAGGGACCUGUUGUAUUAACCAUAUA